GCUCAGGACGAACGCUGGCGGCGUGCUUAACACAUGCAAGUCGAACGAUGAACCACUUCGGUGGGGAUUAGUGGCGAACGGGUGAGUAACACGUGGGCAAUCUGCCCUGCACUCUGGGACAAGCCCUGGAAACGGGGUCUAAUACCGGAUACUGACCAUCUUGGGCAUCUUUGAUGGUCGAAAGCUCCGGCGGUGCAGGAUGAGCCCGCGGCCUAUCAGCUAGUUGGUGAGGUAAUGGCUCACCAAGGCGACGACGGGUAGCCGGCCUGAGAGGGCGACCGGCCACACUGGGACUGAGACACGGCCCAGACUCCUACGGGAGGCAGCAGUGGGGAAUAUUGCACAAUGGGCGAAAGCCUGAUGCAGCGACGCCGCGUGAGGGAUGACGGCCUUCGGGUUGUAAACCUCUUUCAGCAGGGAAGAAGCGAAAGUGACGGUACCUGCAGAAGAAGCGCCGGCUAACUACGUGCCAGCAGCCGCGGUAAUACGUAGGGCGCAAGCGUUGUCCGGAAUUAUUGGGCGUAAAGAGCUCGUAGGCGGCUUGUCACGUCGGUUGUGAAAGCCCGGGGCUUAACCCCGGGUCUGCAGUCGAUACGGGCAGGCUAGAGUUCGGUAGGGGAGAUCGGAAUUCCUGGUGUAGCGGUGAAAUGCGCAGAUAUCAGGAGGAACACCGGUGGCGAAGGCGGAUCUCUGGGCCGAUACUGACGCUGAGGAGCGAAAGCGUGGGGAGCGAACAGGAUUAGAUACCCUGGUAGUCCACGCCGUAAACGGUGGGCACUAGGUGUGGGCAACAUUCCACGUUGUCCG
rnacentral:rRNA from 1 species